CCGGUUCGUCACCUGAUAACCAGAAUCACGGGAAGCGAUUCAAAUUAUCACCAGCUAACAUCCCGACCAUGUCUGGCAGACUUUCACCCUUCAACGAUCCAUUUUUCUAUCCCCCACCAACACACCAGUAUCAUCAGCUCCGGCAAGCUUCUCCUACAGGUUAUAACAAUAUACAAGGCAAACCAUUAUCCCAGACCUCGCCAUCCGGGUAUCUGGGUUUACCUGGACAUCACUCACCACUGGGUAUGGAGAUGUUUCACGCGUCCCAAAACCCAUACCAACCCUUUUAUAACCCCUCUUCAAUGUACCACCAGUCACCGUAUGCAGGAGCUAUGCAGCACCAAAAUAUGAUGUUCCCACCGAAUCCAAUGUAUCCUCAAUAUCCCAUGCCAGGAGGACAACCAGGGCUUCACAGUCAACAGAUGCCCCCGCCAUUCUCCCUACCCCCAGUUGGUCUCCCCUUCCAGGCCAUGAAUCAACAACACCAACCAAUCAAUUACCAGACCAACAAUGGAAGAACUUCUCCACGUGUACAAUUUAGUCAGGCCUCGGGGAAAGUAGGAUUGGAUCUUCACACGCCACAAGAAGCAGCAGGACAUCCAGAAUGUAUUGUACCGGAAGACGAGGAUAGCCGGUUGUCCAAGGUGCCAACAUUUGGACAUAUUGGCCAAGUGUCACAGGAAGUAGAGAAAGUGAAAGUGGAACCCCCAUCGGUAGAUGUCGCUGUUGGUAACGAUACGGAGAAGAUGAAGAGAAAGGGACGAAUCAAUUACUCUAGUCAACAGUUAAAGGCGAUGGACAGAGUUUUUAUAGAACAACCCUACCCUAACACUGAUGUAGUAGAACGUCUGGCUCUAGAAUUAAACAUACCGCAAGCUAAAAUAAGGGUAUGGUUCCAAAACAAACGUGCACGUGCCAGAAGGAAGGGUAGCAGUAAAAUACCCAAUGUUUCAACCAAUGACAGUCA